CUACGGAAUAGCCUCGGGAAACUGAGAGUAAUACCGUAUACGCCCUUCGGGGGAAAGAUUUAUCGGAGAAGGAUUGGCCCGCGUUUGAUUAGAUAGUUGGUGGGGUAAUGGCCUACCAAGUCUACGAUCAAUAGCUGGUUUGAGAGGAUGAUCAGCAACACUGGGUCUGAGACACGGCCCAGACUCCUACGGGAGGCAACAGUGGGGAAUCUUAGACAAUGGGCGCAAGCCUGAUCUAGCCAUGCCGCGUGAGUGACGAAGGCCUUAGGGUCGUAAAGCUCUUUCGAAGAGAUGAUAUUGACAGUAUCUGGUAAAGAAACAUCGGCUAACUCCGUGUCAGCGUGCGCGGUCAUACUGA
rnacentral:rRNA from 1 species